GCGUCGCUACCUCAGAGGGAGAGCAGCCGGCUCUUAACCGGCGGGUGCAGGGUUCGAGCCCCUGGCGACGUA
rnacentral:tRNA from 1 species